rnacentral:rRNA from 1 species
CGCGUAGGUGGUUUGUUAAGUUGGAUGUGAAAGCCCCGGGCUCAACCUGGGAACUGCGUCCAAAACUGGCAAGCUAGAGUACGGUAGAGGGUGGUGGAAUUUCCUGUGUAGCGGUGAAAUGCGUAGAUAUAGGAAGGAACACCAGUGGCGAAGGCGACCACCUGGACUGAUACUGACACUGAGGUGCGAAAGCGUGGGGAGCAAACA